UGGAAAAUCAAUUAAUAAAAUUUAGGUGAAUGCCUAAAUACGCUGAGGAGAGGGCUGUGGAAGUGAGGAUUAUACAAGUCUUUUUCAAAAGAGGUUUGACAGAUCUACUGCACACAUGCACUAUUGUUCUGCAGUUAGCUGUACAUUUGCUGCAUCUUUGUUGUCAGUUAAUGAAUGCUCUGUGUGCUUGAAAGCUUGUCAUUUUUCUGCAGCUGCACCAUCUGGUCUCACAAAAGAUCUGAUCCAAUAAAUCUCAAGCAGCAUACUUUCCAGGAUGAAAUGAAUUAUAAGAAUUUCCCUUUUUCCUUUGACCUAGUCUCACUUUUUUCUAGUAGGAAAGAUGAUUUAAUCUUUCGUCUGAUAUCCUUUAUUUUAAUGGGCUUUAGGCAAUGCUUCUCCUCUGCUUCCUAGAGAUUAAUUUAUUUUCAAGCAGUAGUGUUAUAUGUCUGUAAAGUAAGUCUAUAACUGUAUGAAAAUUAGUACAGAUUUCAGCUAGUAAAUACUAGCAUUCUUCUUGCUGGGAUUUAUUGCUAGACAGGAAAAAAUAAAAAUUUAGCCUGAGCAUGCACCCAUGUGGGAAACUGCCAGUCCUUCCCUAAUUUGGAAUGUCUAAAUCUAGACUGCAUUAGCAAUUGGUGAAUAAUCACUAUUAAUUAUCGUCACUGGCAUUCAACAGAUUUGUUUAGAGAAUGUGCUCCAGUUUCUCAGAGCAGUGUUCCUCCCUUAAUCAUGCCUACAGAAUAAGAAAUGUGUAUACUUGUCAGUCUUGUCAGCAACAGCUGGACUUUAUUCAGAAGAUGGAAUAUCAUUCAGUUGGUGAUGGAGUGGGAAGUCCAGGCUGAAAGAGGUAACCAUGUAUUUUGUUCUGAACACAUCAGAGUGUGCUCUUAUCCUAUUCUGGAGGUGUAAGUUGCAAAUUAGCUUGCUUGUCUGCAUAAACAUUCUAUUUAACUCACGCAGGUGACAUUUUUACUAAUUAAGAGGAAUAUUUCUUUCAUGUCACGUCCUGAAAAGAUAAAGUGAGGUACUCUCUCCAGUAAUGUGGACCAUAGAAUGAUAUGAUGAUGACGACCGGAAUGCUGAAUUUAACCUAGAAUUCCAGAGAAAGCCAAAGCCACUUUGAGUAGAAUAAUAGAUUAAUUGGCAUGGAAAAUCACACACUUAUGGAUCCACUGGGGAAGCUAUGCAGGUCCAUUCGGAAUCACCACACAAAGCCCUCUGACUUCAUACACUGCUUGUUGGAGGGACAGAAAGCAGCUGAAUUUUGGACAGCACUCCUAAAAGUUAACCUGUCUCUAUGUUAGAAUUUUGGAUGCUGUAUAAGAUGCAAGACUCCAUCAUACCUAUUAAGACUUCCUGGACCUGACUUCUCAAUGGUUAUGUUUCCACAAUGUUUAUUGACUGGAGCUGUGCACAAGUGAACUCUGAGUAACAAUCUCUUAAACACUCAGGAUACCAUGAAAUUACAAAAUACAGACAACUUGGUUGCUUCUGAAGCAUACUAGUUACAAUUUUGAUUUAUUCUCUGUAAAGGGUAUUUUUACUAGCUUGUUUUCCACCCUUUCUGUAUACUAUCUCCACUUCUCAUCAGACAGUCUUUCCAUGCGCUUUAGGUUUGAACACUUCCCAUUACUUUCCUGAAUUUUUACUGCUUGAAUUCUCCAUACACCCUUAAUUUCCUUAACACUGAAUUAUUAAGGUUUCUCCAGCAGGGAAAUGUAACUACCCAUUGGAAGCUUUCAGAUGGCCAUGUGCCUUGUGUUUCAACUAUAAAGGGCAGAUUAGUUCAAAUCUGUAAAAAUAAGUAGGACUGUUUGCUUUUAAGAGGAUUUGGAUUGAGUGAAAUUGCUUUAUAAAUAUGUGACUUCUUAGUAUUAAAGUUGGAGAAUGAAAGAAAAAAUACAUAAUCCACUCGUAUCCACAGAAUUUUCUGCUACUCUUUGAGCUUGUACUUACCCAGUCUUCCUGCCUGAUGUGUACAUUUUUAUUUAUAAAUGAUAAUAAAUAAGUCCAAAACUCAGCCUAUCAGAGGGAGAGGGAAGAGAUGCUGUGAAUGAAAUUCAUAUAUCUAACUGAACUGCCCCACGGAUCAUUCUAAGAAGUAUGAAUCAUGUAAUUGUUGAAAAUCCCAAGUUGAAAGGGGGAGCAACAAUGAUUAUUAGGUACAACUCUUGGCUCCACACAGGCUCACCCAAAAAUCAAACCAUACUUCUGAGAGCAUUUUCCAUUGUCCAGAUGCUUCUUGAACUCUGGCAGCCUGGGGGGAUCAGUGAUUUGGGAAGCCUGUUCCAAUGCCUUACCACCAUAAGGUGAAGAACUUUUUCAUAACAGCCAGCAUGAUCUCCCUGAUGCAGCUCCAUGCUGUUCCCUUGGGCUCUGUCGCUGUCACGCUGCUCCUCCGCUCCCCUUGUGAGGAGACUUAGCUGCCAUGAGGGCUCCCCUCAGCCUCCUCUGCUCCGAGCUGAACGCACCAAGGGAUUUCAGCCACUCCUCAUACAUCUUGUCCUCUAGACCCUUCACCAUCUUUGACGCCCUCCCUUGGAUGCUCUUUAACACUUUUAUUCCCUCUUAUACUGCGGUGCCCCAAACUGCACAUAGUGCUUGAGCUGAGGCUGCACCAACACACAGCAGAGUGGGACAAUCCCUUCCCCUGACAGGCUGGCAGUGCUGGGCCUGAUGUACCCCAAAGGGCUGGCCCUUUCGGCUGCCAAGACACAUCGCUGACUCAGAUUCAACUUGCUAUCAACAUGAACCCCUAGGUCCCUUUCCAUGGGGCUUCUCUCUAGUGAUUUUGUUACGUAAUAGGAAACAAAAGAGAGCACAGGGAGUCAAAUGACAAGACAGUAGUGGUUUCAUCAUUCCUUUCCUUACAGUACCGAAUUGGCCAGAGGCGGAGGAGGAUGCGGAGGGAGUCAUUAGGUAAGAAAUCCCACGUGUCACAGAAUCAGGCUCAGCUGCUGUUCAGAGGGCACGUUGCCACUGGGAACACUGAGGGAGCAGUCUGGGAUACACAGAAAAGACAACAAAAAUUCAUCCAGGGAGAACAGUAUUUUGAAGGCCAAAUGAGAGUCAUCCUCUGAGGGCAAAACCAUCUGCAGUCAUGCUUUUUUUCAUACCAUGCAGCUUAAGGAGAGAAUCACAUUAGAUAGAGUGAUAGAUCCUAAAAAAUCAGAUUAGUCAAAACUGUUUAAUAGAAUGUUGAUUGCCACAACAUUAAUAGACAUUACCUAAAUUGUAUUAGUUACAGAGAAUCACAUUAAUUUUAACAUCAUGUAAGUUCGUAAUCUCAUUAGAAAAUAAAACAAAUUUUCAACACGGUAUUUAAAUACUCAGAAUUUCCUACUACGCCACAAAAUCUAUUUGUAUGAUUAGUGAAAGGAGAGGCACAGAGAAAACUCUCCCUGAAUCUUUUAUUCAACUCUUGAGGACUUCAAGUCAUCUAAAACUACAGUGCCUCUGAUUAUGCAUUUCUCCUCUCUCCUUUCAUUCUACUGCUGAUUUGGUCAUGCAGCAAGUGCGAUCGUCUUUUUGUUCUGCACAAAGAAAAUUCAGCAACAGCAGCAAAACACACAAGAAAAAAAUCUAUUUUCAACAAGUUCAUAUAAACUGCCAUUUCAGAUCCUGAAUAAUGCUCAUUCUUUCAGCAUUGGAAAAUCAAUUAAUAAAAUUUAGGUGAAUGCCUAAAUACGCUGAGGAGAGGGCUGUGGAAGUGAGGAUUAUACAAGUCUUUUUCAAAAGAGGUUUGACAGAUCUACUGCACACAUGCACUAUUGUUCUGCAGUUAGCUGUACAUUUGCUGCAUCUUUGUUGUCAGUUAAUGAAUGCUCUGUGUGCUUGAAAGCUUGUCAUUUUUCUGCAGCUGCACCAUCUGGUCUCACAAAAGAUCUGAUCCAGUAAAUCUCAAGCAGCAUACUUUCCAGGGUGAAAUGAAUUAUAAGAAUUUCCCUUUUUCCAGUGCUGGGCCUGAUGUACCCCAAAGGGCUGGCAGCCCUUUUGGCUGCCCAGACACAUCACUGACUCAAAUUCUACCUACUGUUAACCAGAACCCCCGGUCCCUUUCCAUGGUGCUGCUCUCAAACCUUUUGUGCCCCAGUAUAUACAGCUUUUUGCCCCAUCACUGAUGCAGAAUCCAUCACUUGCUCUUGUUGCACUUCAUGAGGUUGGUGAUUGUUCAGCUCUGUAAUUUCUCAAGAUCUCUCUGCAUAGCUUUUCUCCCCUCUAGGUAACCAACGGCUCCACCCAGUUUCUGCAAACUUAUUUAGCAUACCUUCAAGUCCUGUAUCCAAGUAAUUUACACAAACAUGAAAGAGAAAUGGCCCUGCAGAAUACCAUUAGGGAUUGGAUGCCAGCCCAAUGUAACCUCAUUUACUAUUAACCCUCUAAGACCAAUCCAUUAGCCAAUUGUUGACCCAUCAUGUUAUGUUUUUGUCUGGCGGUAUGUGGACAUUGUGUCCAAAUGGAUAUUGUGGGAAACAGUAUAGAAAUCUUGGCUGAAAUCCAAAAAAGAUUACAUCAGCUAGCUUCCCUUGGUCAACUAGGUGGGCAACCUUGUAAUUAAAAGAAAUUAAGCUAGUUAAACAGGACUUUUCACUUGUGAACCCAUGUUUACUGUGACCAGUGACUGCAUCAUCUUUCAGUAACGCCUAGAAUAAUCUCCAUAAUUUUAUUAGGAACUGAAAUGUGACUGACAGGCCUGUAAUUACUAGGGUCUUUUUUCUUUCUUCAAAAUUGAAAUAGUGUUUCCCAGCUUCUAUUCAGUUGGGACCUCUCCACAUCCUCAAGAUUGUUGAAAAAUAAUUGAGAAAUGUCUAAUAAUGCUGGCUCUUUCAACACCUGGGAUUUAUUCCAUCGGGCCCCAUAUACUUGUAUGUAUCCUACAGGAGGAGCAAAUCCCAUACAAAUUUAGGGUUGGCUGGGAUUUUGUUAUUACCAUAGUUAUGGUCCUCCAACUCAGGGCUCUGGGGCUCCCAGAGCUCAUAAUCACUGCUGAAAACAGAGGUGAAGAGGCAUUAGAUGUCUCUGUUUUGUUUAUGUCUCUACUUGUAAGGUGACCAUCCUUAUCAAGUGACUGAUUAAUUCUAUCUCUGGUCAUUCUUUUGUUGUUAAUAUAUAUUUAAAGGUCAUUUUUGUUGUUCCCCACAAUAUCAGCCAGCUUCAACUCUGAGUUUUGGCUGCAUGAUUUUUUCUCCCUACAAUGGCAAACAGCAUCUUUGCAGACUUUAAUGUUGCCUGAGCUCAAUUCUGGUGGUUAUACUUUCUUUUCCCCCUAAGCUCCUUGGCUAGUCAGCCAAGCCAGCCUUCUGCCCUGUGUUCUUGAGUUCCAACAAUUUGGAAUUUCUUGUUCCUGUGCUCUUAAAAAGUGGUAAUUAAAACGUGACUAGCACCGGCAGACCCCAAAGCCCUCAAAAGCGUUUCCCAUGGGAUCUUGCCAACUAGCAUCCUGAGCAGUGUAAAGUCUGCUUUCCCCAUAUCUAGUGUUGAGGUUUUUGUGGCAGUCUUCCUCUUAUCACCAAUGAUUCUAAUGUCAAGUAUAACAUGGUCACUAUGACCAAGUUGGCCUCCAAUUGCCAUUUUAUCCACAGGACCCUCUCUGUUUAUAAGUAACAAAUCCUAGUCAGCUCCCCUAGUACCUGUACCAGGAAGUAAUCAUCAAGUUGAUUUAGAAAUCUCCCAAAACAUUCUUUAUGAUCUGUGUGCCAUUCCCAGUUAACACCAGGCAAGUUGGUUACCCAUAAGGACAAAGGAAGGAUGACCAAGAUGUAUCUCUCAGUUCCUUAACGUAUAAUUGUUUGGUGCCAUCAUUCUGGCUGGCUGUCCUAUAGAAGACUCCCACCAUGACAUCUGGUUUAUUUGCUUGUUCCUUAAUCCUUAUCCAAAGGCUCUCAACCACGUCAUAGGCAAUUGCAAGCUCUGCGCAGUGCAGUCCUCCCUCACACAGUCACCCCUUGCCUCUCCUGCCCUGCCUGUCCCGGGCCCAGAGCUCUGCAUUGUGACACACCAGUCAUGGGACUCUUCCCACCAUAUUUCCUCUAUGCCCAUGACACUGUAGCUCUGGGAUCCAGCCAAGGAUUCUCGCUCCUCUUGUUUGUUUCUCAUGCUGUGUGCUUUAGUGUAGAAACAUUUCAAAAGUGCUUCCAUGUACCGGACAUCUUGUGCAGCAGACUGAACAAUCUCAAUAGUGCACAGAUCCUCAAAUUUUUGUGUGCCAUCCUACAGCUUAUCACUGGUGAGCCUGGUUUUAUCCCAUUGAGUCUGUUUUGAUCCCCUUCUCCCUUUUAAUCUAGUUCAAAGCUCUACCAGUCUUCCCUGCAUUAAGUAUGAACAGAGAACAGCAGCUUCUAUUCCUUUCCAGACCACAGUCUUCAGCA